rnacentral:rRNA from 1 species
AUUGAACGCUGGCGGCAUGCUUUACACAUGCAAGUCGAACGGUAACAGGCCGCAAGGUGCUGACGAGUGGCGAACGGGUGAGUAAUGCAUCGGAACGUGCCCAGUCGUGGGGGAUAACUAUCCGAAAGGAUAGCUAAUACCGCAUACGAUCUGCGGAUGAAAGCGGGGGACCUUCGGGCCUCGCGCGAUUGGAGCGGCCGAUGUCAGAUUAGGUAGUUGGUGGGGGAAAGGCUCACCAAGCCAACGAUCUGUAGCUGGUCUGAGAGGACGACCAGCCACACUGGGAAUGAGACGCGGCCCGGACUCCUACGGGAGGCAGCAGUGGGGAAUUUUGGACAAUGGGCGCAAGCCUGAUCCAGCAAUGCCGCGUGCAGGAAGAAGGCCUUCGGGUUGUAAACUGCUUUUGUACGGAACGAAACGGCUCUGGUUAAUACCUGGGGCUAAUGACGGUACCGUAAGAAUAAGCACCGGCUAACUACGUGCCAGCCGCCGCAGUAA